rnacentral:lncRNA from 1 species
CUAGUAAAGCGGUUUUACAUUUAUUGGCUUUUGGUAUCGUUUUUAAUUUGCAGCUUACUGCUUGAUGGCCUCACUUGAUUGGUACAGUAUGACAACAGUAUGUUGGUUUAUCCUCUCCAUGGAGCUUCGUGCCAAUAUGGAAAAUUAAAGCAAGACGGAAAUGCUUUGCAGUAUGAAGUUUAUCUGAAAAAUGUUUCAUAACUGCAUUUGGAAACUUCCUUCUGAACAUCUGAAAAAUAUCAAGAAUUUAAAAAAAUGAAGUGUGUGCUUAAGUCUGUUGCGUACAGUUCCAUCCAUGCUCCUACAUUACAGAGGCAGAUUUAUAAGUCUCUAGAAUUCCUACUUAUAUGGAGAGGAAGGGAAGAGGAAGGAGAACACUGUGCAGUAAAGAUCACAUGCAACCUAUUACAUUUGCUAAAGAAUGAUCCAGAUGAAAUGUCUCAUUUUGAAUUCUCUUCCGUGGAAGGCUGCAGGUGCAUGUUCAUAAUUUGA